UCACCCACAGCUACCAUGACUUUGAUCCCCGUCUUCAUCUGGACACUGAUCCUCUGGACUCAAGAAUGCAGAGGUCAAGCAACAGUAACUCAGACUCCUGCAGUGAAAUCUGUUCUUCCAGGAGAAACAGUCACCAUCAACUGUAAAACCAGUCCAGCAGUGUAUUAUCAUAGCUCUUAUGGCCACUAUUUACACUGGUAUCAGCAGAAACCUGGAGAAGCUCCUAAACUCCUGAUUAAACUUGCCAAUCAGUUACAGUCGGGUUUUCCAGCUCGUUUCAGUGGCAGUGGAUCUGGAUCUGAUUUCACUCUGACCAUCAGUGGAGUCCAGACUGAAGAUGCAGGAGAUUAUUACUGUCAGAGUUUCCAUUCUAUCAGUAGCACACACCUGUUCACACAGUGAUAUAGAGUCGUACAAAAACCUCCCUCAGUCAGAUAGUAGAGAAACUGCACUGCUGCAGCUGGGAGCGACUGCAGGUGCUGAGUUGGAGGAUGUGAUACACACAAACACACAAAUUCCUAUUUAACAGACACGACCAUCAGGGCUUUUACUUUGAUUUGUGUCUGUGUGUUUAAUCUGUUGGUCUCCAGAACAUUUUGGACCAGAACACAAAUUACAUUUAGCAGUUCACUUUCCUGGUCAGAAACAGUUCAUUAAGAUUAUCUGUGAUUAUUUCCCACAGUGAUUUAUCAUCUUUUAUAAUGUCUUGAGCAUAUAGAAUUAGGUGCACUAACAAGUUUUCUCAUCAGAGUGAAAAUUUCACCCUGGAGGAUGAACUGUUACUGAAUAAUUAGUAUAAUAAUUAGUCAUGAAAAGAUUUUAUUAUAUUAAAAUGUCUGUUUAAUUAUAUGUAUUAUUUAAUCGAUUGCACUAAAGUGUGAAAACCCUGAAUAUGUGUAUAAACAUAAUUAUUGUACAGUAUUAAUAGGGUUAAAUGUGCAUUAAGGACAUGGAGGCCAUCAGGAGUCUUUAUCAUGAAUAAUCAGGUAAACAGAUACUGAGACAGAUGCAGUGGUGAUUUGUGUAUGAAGUGCAUCAUCUAUAAUGUAAAGCAAUCAUAUUUACUGACGCU